rnacentral:rRNA from 1 species
GACGAACGCUGGCGGCGUGCUUAACACAUGCAAGUCGAGCGAUGAAGCUCCUUCGGGAGUGGAUUAGCGGCGGACGGGUGAGUAACACGUGGGUAACCUGCCUCAUAGAGGGGAAUAGCCUUCCGAAAGGAAGAUUAAUACCGCAUAAGAUUGUAGUUCCGCAUGGAACAGCAAUUAAAGGAGUAAUCCGCUAUGAGAUGGACCCGCGUCGCAUUAGCUAGUUGGUGAGGUAACGGCUCACCAAGGCGACGAUGCGUAGCCGACCUGAGAGGGUGAUCGGCCACAUUGGGACUGAGACACGGCCCAGACUCCUACGGGAGGCGGCAGUGGGGAAUAUUGCACAACGGGGGAAACCCUGAUGCAGCAACGCCGCGUGAGUGAUGACGGUCUUCGGCUUGUAAAACUCUGUCUUUGGGGACGAUAAUGACGGUACCCAAGGAGGAAGCCACGGCUAACUACUUGCCAGCAGCCGCCGUAACAC